UACAGAGGGUGCAAGCGUUGUUCGGAAUCACUGGGCGUAAAGCGCGCGUAGGCGGCCCGGUAAGUCCGUUGUGAAAGUCAAAGGCUCAACCUUUGAACGCCGAUGGAUACUGCCGGGCUAGAGUCCGGAAGAGGCGAGUGGAAUCCUGGUGUAGCGGUGGAAGUGCGCAGAUAUCAGGAGGAACACCCAAUAGCGAAGGCAGCUCGCUGGG
rnacentral:rRNA from 1 species